rnacentral:tRNA from 1 species
GAGCGCGGUGGCGGGGUUCACCGCGCCGCCCUCCGCGGCCGGCGGGUGCGGUGCCGCACCGCACCCGCCCC